AACCAUAUGCAAUGAGCACAAAGCAAACUAUUCUUUCGCCUUUUACUAAAGAAUACCGUGUGUUCGUUGUAUAAAAGUGGCAUACGCCUAUUCUUGGAAUGUUUACAAGUGGUAUCAG